rnacentral:rRNA from 1 species
AUGGGCGAGAUUGGAGGACGUACGGGGGUUCGAUUUGUGCGUGGCUCGGGUGAAAUCGGUGAGCGAGCUUGCAGGCUGCCUGGUGACUAUGGGUUUGAUCCCCUGGGGCUCGGGAAGCAGCCUAAGGACCUGAAGUGGUACGUCGAGGCUGAGAUCGUGCACUGCUGGUUUGCCAUGGCAGGGGUUGCCGGCAUCCUCGGAACUGAUGAUCGUGAUUUCGUGGUCGAGCCUAUGUCAACCACUGGUUCCACUCAGCCGAGCAGGCCAGACAUAAGGUCUUCACCUUCAGCAUCCAGUGAGAGUGUCAGGGCUCGCAAUUCAGGUUCUAGUUCCAGAUCAGCUGCCCCACCACCAGCAGCACCACAAGCAGGGGCUGCAAACCCUUUACGUUUCGAUGCAAAGACUAUACAUUUCUCCGUAAAUGCCUGGGUAAGGAAGAAGCCACCUUUCUCUUCACAGUAUGAAUGCGUAAUUGUGUAA